AUACGGAGGAUCCGAGCGUUAUCCGGAUUUAUUGGGUUUAAAGGGAGCGUAGGUGGAUUGUUAAGUCAGUUGUGAAAGUUUGCGGCUCAACCGUAAAAUUGCAGUUGAAACUGGCAGUCUUGAGUACAGUAGAGGUGGGCGGAAUUCGUGGUGUAGCGGUGAAAAGCUUAGAUAUCACGAAGAACUCCGAUUGCGAAGGCAGCUCACUAGACUGUUACUGACACUGAUGCUCGAAAGUGUGGGGAUCAAACAGGAUUAGAUACCCUGGUAGUCCACACAGUAAACGAUGAAUACUCGCUGUUUGCGAUAUACAGUAAGCGGCCAAGCGAAAGCAUUAAGUAUUCCACCUGGGGAGUACGCCGGCAACGGUGAAACUCAAAUGAAUUGGCGGGG
rnacentral:rRNA from 1 species